UGCAAGUCGAGCGCCCCGCAAGGGGAGCGGCAGACGGGUGAGUAACGCGUGGGAAUCUACCCAUCUCUACGGAACAACUCCGGGAAACUGGAGCUAAUACCGUAUACGUCCUUCGGGAGAAAGAUUUAUCGGAGAUGGAUGAGCCCGCGUUGGAUUAGCUAGUUGGUGGGGUAAUGGCCUACCAAGGCGACGAUCCAUAGCUGGUCUGAGAGGAUGAUCAGCCACACUGGGACUGAGACACGGCCCAGACUCCUACGGGAGGCAGCAGUGGGGAAUAUUGGACAAUGGGCGCAAGCCUGAUCCAGCCAUGCCGCGUGAGUGAUGAAGGCCCUAGGGUUGUAAAGCUCUUUCAACGGUGAAGAUAAUGACGGUAACCGUAGAAGAAGCCCCGGCUAACUUCGUGCCAGCAGCCGCGGUAAUACGAAGGGGGCUAGCGUUGUUCGGAAUUACUGGGCGUAAAGCGCACGUAGGCGGAUUGUUAAGUUAGGGGUGAAAUCCCAGGGCUCAACCCUGGAACUGCCUUUAAUACUGGCAAUCUCGAGUCCGAGAGAGGUGAGUGGAAUUCCGAGUGUAGAGGUGAAAUUCGUAGAUAUUCGGAGGAACACCAGUGGCGAAGGCGGCUCACUGGCUCGGUACUGACGCUGAGGUGCGAAAGCGUGGGGGAGCAAACAGGAUUAGAUACCCUGGUAGUCCACGCCGUAAACUAUGAGAGCUAGCCGUCGGCAAGUUUACUUGUCGGUGGCGCAGCUAACGCAUUAAGCUCUCCGCCUGGGGAGUACGGUCGCAAGA
rnacentral:rRNA from 1 species